AUGGAUAUUACUUGACAUUUUAUAUAAUUAUAACAUAAUUCCCUAAUAUUAAUUUGUAAAUAAUUGAUUAACAUAAUAAAUCAUUAAUUGUUUAGAUGACAAAAGCUAAAAUACAUGGAACAUUAUUCUAGAAAGCUACUUAAAUCAUCAUUCUAAGAAAAAUGCUUGUCAGCUUUCAUACAACUAGAUUUUUUCCUAUAGCUAUUUUUCUUGGCAUAUUUAAUUGCUUCUGUUCAUGGAAGUUGAAUCAGACAGCUGAAAGUUAUGCCAAAUGGAGCCUUAUUAAAUUUAACCCUUUCUUUUCUAUCCUAAUAGAACCCCACCAUGAUUAUGUGGUUUUGUGCUCUUAGUGAAUUCUGUGUUUGAGUUUAUACAACUGGCCAUAAGGCCUAGAUAUGGUAGAACAAAUUGCCUGGUUGCUUAUAGUAUCAUCAAUUUGGCAUGCAGUUCACGGCAGUUAAUGGUGUAACUUUCUAAGAUUGGUACUUGUUAACAUUGGGCAUCAGAUUGCACAUAAUUUUUUAAUUUCCAUUUUUUAACAAUGAAAAAUGAUAAAUGAUAAACUGAUUGACAUUUUGAAGAUUAACGGUGUGCUGAAAUGCCAUGUGUAUCCAAUAAAAUAAUUUUAAUGAACUCUUAAAAAUCCCUCCAUGUUCUUAGGGCAUCUCCAACGGAAAAAUCCAUUUUAUACUCCAAAAUGCAGUAAAACUUCAAAAUGUAGUUAUUCUUCUCAAAUCAAACGUUGUUUCUUCUUCUUUCUCGCGCUUCCUGCAAAGGUAACCAUCUUUGGCGCGCUUUUCUCCCACUUUCGCUCGUUUCUUCGGUAAAACCCCCAGCCAAUUUUUUGGCGUAAGUGAACCGUCUGAAGCCAAUAUUGGCGUCAGACUGUUCACCUUCCAGAAUUUGGUGUGCGAUUUGGAGUUCGAAUGGAGCAAAUGACGGACGACAUACGGUGGUAUGGAGUUCGGUUGGAGAUGAUCUUAGGGAAGCCACUCAUCCUGUGAAUAUUGGUAAAUUUGACAUUCAUGGUAAUUUUCUUUCCUAAGGGAAUCGAAAGUCGGAUUAAGUCCGAUCUCCACUUUUCUGAACACUUCCUCACUAAAAAGAAUAAUACACCUACUCAUGCGAUGUUAGGUUGUCUAUGUUAAAGAGAAUGCUAUGGUGGAGGAGAUUCCAAUCCAUGCUUCGCGCUGUCAUUAGCCAGGACGAUGGUAACAUUGACGGGCGAGUGAGAUGGAAUUAGGGAAGGGUGUUCCAGAUUCUUGGCUUUAAGCUAAUGUUGUUGAUGAUGAAGAUGAGCUUGAGCCCUUCUAACUUCUAAGUAAUCUCAUAAUUCUUGACAAAGGAAUUAUAAAACAUAAUCAUUCAUCGAGAUUGCAUUGCUAAAGUGCUUGAUUGAAUAUUUCUAGAAGUUGCGCAUAAAGAUUUGCACAAGAUAAGAGUUAACAUCACAUGCAACACCUUAGUAGGAUCAGAUAUAACUGGAUAGGAUGGUGGAACAGGAUUCAUAGUUGGUUUUAGGCUAAUGAUGAUUAUGUUUGAUUCAAGUCUUAAGAUUAUUGUAAUUAACUAAUGCUGUUAGUGUUUGCAUGGAAGUGAUGUCUUUUUUCCUUCAGAAAAUGUUAGUUAGAAGAAGCUGAAGGAACUUCUUGUGACACUUGAUUGAGCUCUUCAUCAGAAGCCCCAAUUACUGGAUUUCAUAUUAUUUGCUAUCCUAAAACACUUUUAUUUAUGGACUUCUUGCAAACAAAUUCUGCAGGGCUCUGCUAGUGCUAUCUCUGGGGCCUUACAACCGGUGCAGGCUAGGAGCCAACAACAAUCUGGUGGAAUGCAGGAUAUCAAGCCUGAGAUGAAUCCGGCGUUGACUCCAAGAGUUGCUGUUCCUGAUGGAUCAUUAAAUGGAGUACCUGGUAAUAUCUCCUGCCUUCAAAUUUUUAUGAUUUGUAGACUUACAUUCUGCUUGGGAGCCGAGAAAAAGAAAAAAGAGAAGGAAAAUGUUUUCUUUUCUUUUUGAUUGAGAGCAUUAAGAAAGAAAGAAAAACUUCAUCCAAUUCUAAGAAAAGUAAGUGAACGAAAUAUUACUAUAAAUUUGACAUAUACCCUUGUAGAA